rnacentral:lncRNA from 1 species
AGAAUUUUCUUGGUGUGACAGAGAUGCAUGUAUGAAGCUUCUUCUAUCUGCAGCAAUAUUAUUUAAGCAAUCAUCAUGGACCAUGAGAAAGAUAUAUGCAUGAUUCGAAACUAUCUAUAUAUCAUGCAUCAUGUAGCAAUUAAGCCAGCCCAUCAUAGUGAACGUAACGUGCGUAGACAUCUAUAAGCUCCAAUCAAGAAAAAAUUCAAGGAACAAAAGAAGAAAAAGAAAAAAACUAAACAUAAGCUAGCCAUAUGAGCAUGUGUUCAGAUUGUAUAUAUGUGAAUCUUUUUUCAAAAAAUCUAUUUUCGUAUGGAAAACCUCAAAUGGCAAAAUUGAUGGAGUUAAACUUUUGCCGAAGCCAUAAUGGCAAGUCAUAACCGAAACUGGGAUAGCAAGUGGACUGCAUAACACCAUAAAUCUGAACAGCUGCAUGAUGGAGAACCUUAGGAUGCCUAUAACUUGAUAGGAGGGAAUGGAAGAGAGAGAAGUUUGCUUUGUGUGCUGUCUGGCCUCUGAGACAUCCCCCAUCGGGUAUUUAUAGAGGCAACCGCUUGCAUGCAUCGCUGCAAAUUUUGUGUCAGGAUAAACGGCCCAGUUAUUCGCAUUAUCUAAUUACCCUAGGCUUAGAUAUGCGUCACAUGCUAUCAAAGGCCUUAAUGAUUUUUUUUUGCAAAGUCAAAUUAUUUUAGUAUCAAUGAAAAUUUUCCAAAAUAGAAACGUGCAUUGAGUUCGCUCGCUCUCUCUUGUAGAUAUGCUUUAUGAGCAAGUGAGAGGGUUAUAUUGGGCAGGUGAUAGACUUGAUGAGCAAACGAUUGGCUGAGUCAUGAGCAGGC